rnacentral:tRNA from 1 species
GGCUGAGUGGUGGAAUGGUAUACACAGUACGCUUAGAACGUGCCGCCCUACGGAUUGUGAGUUCGAGUCUCACCUCAGCUACCA